CCCGCGAUAGCUCAACGGUAGAGCACCUGGCUGUAGACCAGGGGGUUCUGAGUUCAAAUCUCAGUCGCGGGA
rnacentral:tRNA from 1 species